GGUUGACCUCGGAUCAGGUAGGAAUACCCGCUGAACUUAAGCAUAUCAAUAAGCGGAGGAAAAGAAACCAACAGGGAUUGCCCUAGUAACGGCGAGUGAAGCGGCAACAGCUCAAAUUUGAAAUCUGGCCCUCGGGUCCGAGUUGUAAUUUGUAGAGGAUGCUUUUGGUGCGGUGCCUUCCGAGUUCCCUGGAACGGGACGCCAUAGAGGGUGAGAGCCCCGUCUGGUUGGAUACCAAUCCUCUGUAAAGCUCCUUCGACGAGUCGAGUAGUUUGGGAAUGCUGCUCUAAAUGGGAGGUAUAUGUCUUCUAAAGCUAAAUACCGGCCAGAGACCGAUAGCGCACAAGUAGAGUGAUCGAAAGAUGAAAAGCACUUUGAAAAGAGGGUUAAACAGUACGUGAAAUUGUUGAAAGGGAAGCGCUUGUGACCAGACUUGGGCCCGGUUAAUCAUCCAGUGUUCUCACUGGUGCACUUGGCCGGCCCAGGCCAGCAUCAGUUCGGCGCGGGGGAUAAAGGCUUCGGGAAUGUGGCUCCUCCGGGAGUGUUAUAGCCCGUUGUGCAAUACCCUGCGCUGGACUGAGGUUCGCGCAUCUGCAAGGAUGCUGGCGUAAUGGUCAUCAGCGACCCGUCUU
rnacentral:rRNA from 1 species